GCUGGACGCAGUGGCACGCACCUGUAUUCCCAGCUACUCUGGAGGCUGAGACCAGAGGUUCACUUGAGUCCAGAAGUUCUGCUGUAGUGUGCUAUGCUGAUCAGGUGUCUGCACUAAGUUUGGUAUCAAUAUGGUGACCUCCCUGGAGUAGGGGGCCACCAGGUUGCCUAAGUAGGGGUGAACCAGCCCAAGUCAGAAAUGGAGCAGAUCAAAACUCCCAUACUGAUCAGCAGUGGAAUCAUGCCUGUGAAUAGCCACUGCACUCCAGCCUGGGCAACACGGCAAGACCCAUCUCUA
rfam:Otolemur garnettii contig177182, whole genome shotgun sequence.